CCUACGGGAGGCAGCAGUGAGGAAUAUUGGUCAAUGGCCGGAAGGCUGAACCAGCCAAGCCGCGUGAAGGACGAAGGUGCCAAGCAUUGUAAACUUCUUUUGUCAAGGUACAAAAUCAGGCUCUCGCGCCUGCCCGCUGGUACUUUAAGAAAAAGCAUCGGCUAACUCCGUGCCAGCAGCCGCGGUAAUACGGCGGAUGCGAGCGUUAUCCGGAUUUAUUGGGUUUAAAGGGUGCGUAGGCGGGCUGUUAAGUCAGCGGUAAAAGCCCGGGGCUCAACCCCGGCGAGCCGUUGAAACUGGCUGUCUUGAGAGGGCGAGAGGUAGGCGGAAGGCGCAGUGUAGCGGUGAAAUGCUUAGAUAUUGCGCAGAACUCCGAUUGCGAAGGCAGCAUACCGGAGGCGAUCUGACGCUGAGGCACGAAAGCGUGGGUAUCGAACAGGAUUAGAUACCCCUGUAGUC
rnacentral:rRNA from 1 species